CAAUACAUUCAGUGGCGAACGGGUGAGUAACGCGUGGAUAAUCUACCUACGAGAUGGGGAUAACUAUUAGAAAUAGUAGCUAAUACCGAAUAAAGUCAAUUGAGAUGUUAAUUGAUGAAAGGAAGCCUUUAAAGCUUCGCUUGUAGAUGAGUCUGCGUCUUAUUAGCUAGUUGGUAGGGUAAGAGCCUACCAAGGCUAUGAUAAGUAACCGGCCUGAGAGGGUGAUCGGUCACACUGGAACUGAGAUACGGUCCAGACUCCUACGGGAGGCAGCAGCUAAGAAUCUUCCGCAAUGGGCGAAAGCCUGACGGAGCGACACUGCGUGAACGAAGAAGGUCGAAAGAUUGUAAAGUUCUUUUAUAAAUGAGGAAUAAGCUUUGUAGGAAAUGGCAAAGUGAUGACGUUAGUUUAUGAAUAAGCCCCGGCUAAUUACGUGCCAGCAGCCGCGGUAAUACGUAAGGGGCGAGCGUUGUUCGGGAUCAUUGGGCGUAAAGGGUGAGUAGGCGGAUAUGUAAGUCUAUGUGUAAAAUACCACAGCUCAACUGUGGAACUAUGCUAGAAACUGCAUGACUAGAGUCUGAUAGGGGAAGUUAGAAUUCCUGGUGUAAGGGUGGAAUCUGUUGAUUCRAAAAA
rnacentral:rRNA from 1 species